CAAUACCUGGACAUUUAAGAAGUCAAGGAUUUAAAGAAGCAACAAAAAUCAAUCAGACCUUGAUCUAAUGGGUCUGAAAACAGACACAGAGAAGCUUCAGGCACUUUGACUUGAAAGAGUAUCUGGAAAAUGGAUACUAAGCCCUUAAACACUGACAUGCAAUAACCAUCUCAAUGUGGCUCUGGAAAAUGUGUCAGAUGGAACAAGUAAUUAGCUUCUGUCUGUGCACUGGGGUGGCUUAGUUCAAAUCCUUCAGUCUCAACUGGUGGUAUUUCUUGCAGGUCCUUAUGUGUAAAUGGAUUUUGUUGUGUGUGUGUCUUAUUGUGCUGCCCUCAUUCUCUGAUGUGUCAGCAUUUGUUAUGCCGCCACAGUGGAAAAUAGGAUGUCAAAUAAGCAAGGAGCAGUACCAGUUGCUUUGCAGUGUGACUCAGACCCCAAGGGAAGACUUGCUGCAAAGCGCCUACAGUAUAAAAUACCUGCCAGCAAAAUUUCCCAUCCUUCUGGCUGUUGUUGUCAUUUGUGUUUCGUAGAUGGUUGGAUGAAGAUAACUCACAACAGCGUUAUUCCUGUAACUGCAGCAGGCAGCAAAAUUAAGAUCUGAGGGAAUUUCAGUGUAUAACCUCAAAUUUUGCUUCCCUUGAGUAUUUCAUGCAUGUUACAUUGAAAGUGAAGAAAGAAGGACAAGGUGAAUGUGACUUUAUGUAAAUCUGUUGAAAAUGUGGCUUGAGUAUUCACAAAAAGGCUUUUUAUGCAUUAUUUAUUCCUCCAUAGUUAAAUAUAUGAUGCUCACUAACUAUGGCUGGUAAAUGUGCACCUGCAGAAAGGAAUCUGGUGAGAAUAUGAUAAAGGUCUUGCUUGGCUAAAGCACAAAUUACCACUAGACUUGGGUGCAGAAGUUAAUCUUGACAUGAUGAUGAUUCACUUGGGAGAACUGUGAUGGGUUUGUAAUAUGAGUUAUAGCAAUUUGUAGUUAUUGCAUAAAUGCAAAUAUUUAGAUGGAUUGUUCAUGAUAGUUUGCCACAAUAGGAAAAAGCAAUGGUAGAGAAAGGAUUUUUUUCUUCUGACUUAUGUAUGUAACCCUUGUCCAAGACACUCUGUACAUUCCAUGGAGAGAUACAGACACUUUCAGGAAGUGAUUCAUCUCGGGUUUAGAUGUCUAAAAUAAGGCAGAUGGAAGAGCCUAUUUCUCUCCACAGAAGAACUUCUAGGCUGAAUUGCAUUGUAACAAGCAGGCCCAGUAGUAAAAACAGUAUGACCACCUGCAAGCAAACACGGUUCAUGUCUUAGCACCCUGCCACCAGUAUAGUCAAACACAAAGUGAUAGUGUCUGACUGUCGAACAAAUUCUCUUUCAGCUGCAGCAGAAGUAGCUCAUCUGAUGAAUCAGUCAUAAUCAUGCUCAAAUGUGUAGUCAAAUUUAUACAACACAGAACAUAGUAUUCCAGUCUGUCAGGAAUUAACCCUCCCCAUGCAAAAAAUGUAAGGUUGCAUCUGUGAAGUUCGUAUUAAGUUAAGAACAAUUUUGGUGUGGCUGUAAAUUCAGAUUUUCUUUUUUUUCCACUGUUGAGAUUUAGGAUUUGAUUUUGCAGAGAUGCAGAACAUUUUCUGGACGCUCAGUUCCCUGACUACUUUGAAGGACACGAUGCCUUGUGAGAUCAAGGCCUUGCACCAUGUAGAAUGUCUGUAUCUGAAUUGCUAUGUUCCUUAGGUGUGUAAAAUUUUGAAAUGCCUCCUAAAACUAUCACUUACCCUCCACUACUGCUUCCAGCUGCCAGAAAGCAAAGAGUCAGGUGUCUAAGCUUGGCUGAUUGGCCAGGCUCCAUCUAUAAUUGAUGGAGACAAGCACUUCUGAGGGGAGAUUCAUCUGGUCUGUGGAGACUGUGAAUCACACAUUUCCUAUCUCUUGCUCCCGGCUAUUUGUUGGCACCCCUGCCUCACUUCACGGCAACUUUUGGUUGCUGUUUGUGGCUGUGGCAUUAAUCAAGUAGCUUAAAUUGUUUGGGUUUAAAAAAAAAAACCAAACCGCCCCCCCCCCCCCCCCACUACUGGUUAAAAGGGAAAUCUAUUCCCUGCCUGUACCUUUUGGGGUGAGGGUGUAGAAUUUU